rnacentral:rRNA from 1 species
UUAAGCGACUAAGCGUACACGGUGGAUGCCCUGGCAGUCAGAGGCGAUGAAGGACGUGCUAAUCUGCGAAAAGCGUCGGUAAGGUGAUAUGAACCGUUAUAACCGGCGAUGUCCGAAUGGGGAAACCCAGUGCAAUUCGUUGCACUAUCGUUAACUGAAUACAUAGGUUAACGAGGCGAACCGGGGGAACUGAAACAUCUAAGUACCCCGAGGAAAAGAAAUCAACCGAGAUUCCCCCAGUAGCGGCGAGCGAACGGGGAGCAGCCCAGAGUCUGAAUCAGCUUGUGUGUUAGUGGAACGGUCUGGAAAGUCCGACGGUACAGGGUGAUAGUCCCGUACACCAAAAUGCACAGGCUGUGAACUCGAAGAGUAGGGCGGGACACGUGGUAUCCUGUCUGAAUAUGGGGGGACCAUCCUCCAAGGCUAAAUACUCCUGACUGACCGAUAGUGAACCAGUACCGUGAGGGAAAGGCGAAAAGAACCCCGGCGAGGGGAGUGAAAAAGAACCUGAAACCGUGUACGUACAAGCAGUGGGAGCACCUUCGGGUGUGACUGCGUACCUUUUGUAUAAUGGGUCAGCGACUUAUAUUCUGUAGCAAGGUUAACCGUAUAGGGGAGCCGCAGGGAAACCGAGUCUUAACUGGGCGUUAAGUUGCAGGGUAUAGACCCGAAACCCGGUGAUCUAGCCAUGGGCAGGUUGAAGGUUGGGUAACACUAACUGGAGGACCGAACCGACUAAUGUUGAAAAAUUAGCGGAUGACUUGUGGCUGGGGGUGAAAGGCCAAUCAAACCGGGAGAUAGCUGGUUCUCCCCGAAAGCUAUUUAGGUAGCGCCUCGUGAACUCAUCUUCGGGGGUAGAGCACUGUUUCGGCUAGGGGGUCAUCCCGACUUACCAACCCGAUGCAAACUACGAAUACCGAAGAAUGUUAUCACGGGAGACACACGGCGGGUGCUAACGUCCGUCGUGAAGAGGGAAACAACCCAGACCGCCAGCUAAGGUCCCAAAGUCAUGGUUAAGUGGGAAACGAUGUGGGAAGGCACAGACAGCCAGGAUGUUGGCUUAGAAGCAGCCAUCAUUUAAAGAAAGCGUAAUAGCUCACUGGUCGAGUCGGCCUGCGCGGAAGAUGUAACGGGGCUAAACCAUGCACCGAAGCUGCGGCAGCGACACUAUGUGUUGUUGGGUAGGGGAGCGUUCUGUAAGCCUGCGAAGGUGUGCUGUGAGGCAUGCUGGAGGUAUCAGAAGUGCGAAUGCUGACAUAAGUAACGAUAAAGCGGGUGAAAAGCCCGCUCGCCGGAAGACCAAGGGUUCCUGUCCAACGUUAAUCGGGGCAGGGUGAGUCGACCCCUAAGGCGAGGCCGAAAGGCGUAGUCGAUGGGAAACAGGUUAAUAUUCCUGUACUUGGUGUUACUGCGAAGGGGGGACGGAGAAGGCUAUGUUAGCCGGGCGACGGUUGUCCCGGUUUAAGCAUGUAGGCUGGUUAUCCAGGCAAAUCCGGAUAAUCAAGGCUGAGGUGUGAUGACGAGGCACUACGGUGCUGAAGUAACAAAUGCCCUGCUUCCAGGAAAAGCCUCUAAGCAUCAGGUAACAUCAAAUCGUACCCCAAACCGACACAGGUGGUCAGGUAGAGAAUACCAAGGCGCUUGAGAGAACUCGGGUGAAGGAACUAGGCAAAAUGGUGCCGUAACUUCGGGAGAAGGCACGCUGGUGUGUAGGUGAAGUCCCUGCGGAUGGAGCUGAGACCAGUCGAAGAUACCAGCUGGCUGCAACUGUUUAUUAAAAACACAGCACUGUGCAAACACGAAAGUGGACGUAUACGGUGUGACGCCUGCCCGGUGCCGGAAGGUUAAUUGAUGGGGUUAUCCGUAAGGAGAAGCUCUUGAUCGAAGCCCCGGUAAACGGCGGCCGUAACUAUAACGGUCCUAAGGUAGCGAAAUUCCUUGUCGGGUAAGUUCCGACCUGCACGAAUGGCGUAAUGAUGGCCAGGCUGUCUCCACCCGAGACUCAGUGAAAUUGAACUCGCUGUGAAGAUGCAGUGUACCCGCGGCAAGACGGAAAGACCCCGUGAACCUUUACUAUAGCUUGACACUGAACAUUGAGCCUUGAUGUGUAGGAUAGGUGGGAGGCUUUGAAGCGUGGACGCCAGUCUGCGUGGAGCCAACCUUGAAAUACCACCCUUUAAUAUUUGAUGUUCUAACGUUGGCCCCUGACCGGGGUUGCGGACAGUGUCUGGUGGGUAGUUUGACUGGGGCGGUCUCCUCCCAAAGCGUAACGGAGGAGCACGAAGGUUAGCUAAUCCUGGUCGGACAUCAGGAGGUUAGUGCAAUGGCAUAAGCUAGCUUGACUGCGAGCGUGACGGCGCGAGCAGGUGCGAAAGCAGGUCAUAGUGAUCCGGUGGUUCUGAAUGGAAGGGCCAUCGCUCAACGGAUAAAAGGUACUCCGGGGAUAACAGGCUGAUACCGCCCAAGAGUUCAUAUCGACGGCGGUGUUUGGCACCUCGAUGUCGGCUCAUCACAUCCUGGGGCUGAAGUAGGUCCCAAGGGUAUGGCUGUUCGCCAUUUAAAGUGGUACGCGAGCUGGGUUUAGAACGUCGUGAGACAGUUCGGUCCCUAUCUGCCGUGGGCGCUGGAGAAUUGAGGGGGGCUGCUCCUAGUACGAGAGGACCGGAGUGGACGCAUCACUGGUGUUCGGGUUGUCAUGCCAAUGGCACUGCCCGGUAGCUAAAUGCGGAAGAGAUAAGUGCUGAAAGCAUCUAAGCACGAAACUUGCCCCGAGAUGAGUUCUCCCUGAGACUUUAAGUCUCCUGAAGGAACGUUGAAGACGACGACGUUGAUAGGCCGGGUGUGUAAGCGCAGCGAUGCGUUGAGCUAACCGGUACUAAUGAACCGUGAGGCUUAACCUU